AUGGUGGACUGCAUUGUGGCGGGGUAUGGGGUUGCAAGGAACCUAGGCUGGAGUCUCCAGGCUCAGGGCUGGCCUCUGUUGCUUGCAGUUCUUGAGUCCCUAAUUCAUUCCUCCAAGGGGAAGAAUAAAUCCUCUGAAGUUUCAAAUAGGAAGAAAAGUUAUGUUAGAGAGGAGAAAAGUACUCCACAUUCCAGAGUUCUAUGUUGGAAGUAUUCUUUGUGUUACUACAGCUGACUCAUAUGCCAGUGAAAAAAUCAGCCAGUUUCUGGGGAUUUGCAUCUAGAGAUCAGGAAAAGGACUUGGGGCUACUUUUAUCCUUAGGAAUGUUAUUGAAGGACAAGGUGUUAAAAUUUGCUUUGAACUUUAUAAUCCUCGAAUCCGGGAGACUCAAGUGGUCAAAUUAGAGAAAUGGGUGGAUGAUAGCUUGCUGUGGUUACGAGAUGCUUUUCCUGAAUAUAGCACUGUUGAUGUGAAUAUGAAGCCAGUAGCACAAGAGCCUAGCCAAGAAGUUCCUGUUAAUAAGCUGAAAAUGAAAAUGAAGCCUCAGCCCUGGUCCAAAUGCUGGGACUGUCCAAAUUUUAAUAUUUAAGGAAUAAUAUUUGAUCCUUGUUUCACUGAAGAACAAAUGAAAGCAGCUUAGAAGUAGAGACAGCUGUGGCUUGAAUUUGAUACGAUGAGGGAAUAUGAUGCUUUAAAAAUUGAAGCUGCAAUAUGGGAUGAAAAUGAAGCAUCCAGAAAGUCCUGA
rnacentral:lncRNA from 1 species